UUCAAAUGAAAAUGCAACCUUUUGUAGCAAAAUUCAUAGCAUCAACAUUUGGACAUAUAUUUAACAACUAACACAUAGUAAAUUAAACUACUCCCGUCCGCCUCCUUGUGCCUACUCCUUCUGCAUCUCCAGGUUACCAAAUUUGAUGAAGAAAAUCAACUGUAAAGAACAAUGUCCAGGGCCUGCUCUCUCUAGUGUUCCAACUCCGUUCUUAAAUACCUAUUUGGGCAAAAUCUAUGUAGCUCCUGUGCAUGAUUUCUUUUGCUAGAUAUUGUUCACUUUUAACCUUUUACAUGUAUAUACAUGGUAUAUCAUUGGACAUGGCAUAACGAUAUUCCCCAAGAUAUGUGUUGAUGUGCUUAACUAUCUUCCUUCUACUGGCAUAAUGUGACAAAAUUGCAUGGUUCAGAAUCUUCGUGCUCCAUAUCUAAAACUAAUAUCAAUGUUCCUAUACAUUGCAUAUCUAUUUUUACAGAUAUCAGUCAGCGAUGUAAGCUUUUGCAAAUAUAUGUCAGUACAUUCUUCGUACUGAACCAUGUCCAGAAAAAAACCAACACCUUGGAUAGCUUAGAACUUGUAUCAUUCACACUCUGUAGGUGCCUUGCAUCUCUGGGUGUACAUUUAAUUGUUGAGGUCCUUCCGCAAAACACAAAAAAGAACAAAUACAAUCAACUGUCAUUGCAACAUGGACGAAGCUGAAUAUUACUAUGAACCAGUCACACAGAUAAAUUCAGAAAUUCGUAUGGGCCUGUCAGACACAUACCAGUGCAGCGUGUCGAGGCGGCGCGUCGAGCGCACCAUGCGUGUGAAGGGGCCGCGGAUCGACGACGGAGGAAGGCGCUCAUAU
rnacentral:lncRNA from 1 species